rnacentral:rRNA from 1 species
GACGAACGCUGGCGGCGUGCUUAACACAUGCAAGUCGAACGGAAAGGCCCCUUUGGGGGUACUCGAGUGGCGCACGGGUGAGUAACACGUGAGUAACCUGCCCUUGACUUCGGGAUAACUUCAGGAAACUGGGGCUAAUACCGGAUAGGAAUCCUUGCUGCAUGGUGGGGGUUGGAAAGCUUCGGCGGUUUUGGAUGGACUCACGGCUUAUCAGCUUGUUGGUGGGGUAGUGGCUUACCAAGGCUUUGACGGGUAGCCGGCCUGAGAGGGCGACCGGCCACAUUGGGACUGAGAUACGGCCCAGACUCCUACGGGAGGCAGCAGUGGGGAAUAUUGCACAAUGGGCGGAAGCCUGAUGCAGCAACGCCGCGUGCGGGAUGACGGCCUUCGGGUUGUAAACCGCUUUCAGCAGGGGCGAAGCUUGUGGUGACGGUACCUGCAGAAGAAGCACCGGCUAACUACGUG